rnacentral:rRNA from 1 species
CUACGGGAUGCACCAGUGGGGAAUAUUGCACAAUGGAGGAAACUCUGAUGCAGCAACGCCGCGUGGAGGAUGACACUUUUCGGAGCGUAAACUCCUUUUAUAUAGGAAGAAGAUGACGGUACUAUAUGAAUAAGCGCCGGCUAACUCCGUGCCAGCAGCCGCGGUAAUACGGAGGGCGCAAGCGUUACUCGGAAUCACUGGGCGUAAAGAGCGUGUAGGCGGAUUAAAAAGUCAGAAGUGAAAUCCUAUAGCUUAACUAUAGAACUGCUUCUGAAACUCUUAAUCUAGAAUAUGGGAGAGGUAGAUGGAAUUUCUGGUGUAGGGGUAAAAUCCGUAGAGAUCAGAAGGAAUACCGAUUGCGAAGGCGAUCUACUAGAACAUUAUUGACGCUGAGACGCGAAAGCGUGGGGAGCAAACAGAAUUAGAUACCCGCGUAGUC